rnacentral:rRNA from 1 species
GCCAGUGGGGGCGUGCUUUACAUGCAAGUCGAACGAUGAUGCCCUAAGCUUGCUGGGCGGAUUAGUGGCGAACGGGUGAGUAAUACGUGAGUAACCUGCCCUUGACUCUGGGAUAAGCCUGGGAAACUGGGUCUAAUACUGGAUACUACCUCUUGCCGCAUGGUGGGUGGUGGAAAGGGUUUUACUGGUUUUGGAUGGGCUCACGGCCUAUCAGCUUGUUGGUGGGGUAAUGGCUCACCAAGGCGACGACGGGUAGCCGGCCUGAGAGGGUGACCGGCCACACUGGGACUGAGACACGGCCCAGACUCCUACGGGAGGCAGCAGUGGGGAAUAUUGCACAAUGGGCGGAAGCCUGAUGCAGCGACGCCGCGUGAGGGAUGACGGCCUUCGGGUUGUAAACCUCUUUCAGUAGGGAAGAAGCGAGAGUGACGGUACCUGCAGAAGAAGCGCCGGCUAACUACGUGCCAGCAGCCGCGGUAAUACGUAGGGCGCAAGCGUUGUCCGGAAUUAUUGGGCGUAAAGAGCUCGUAGGCGGUUUGUCGCGUCUGCUGUGAAAGCCCGGGGCUCAACCCCGGGUCUGCAGUGGGUACGGGCAGACUAGAGUGCAGUAGGGGAGACUGGAAUUCCUGGUGUAGCGGUGAAAUGCGCAGAUAUCAGGAGGAACACCGAUGGCGAAGGCAGGUCUCUGGGCUGUUACUGACGCUGAGGAGCGAAAGCAUGGGGAGCGAACAGGAUUAGAUACCCUGGUAGUCCAUGCCGUAAACGUUGGGCACUAGGUGUGGGGGACAUUCCACGUUUUC